AUAUAUUUUGCAGUGUCAAUACACAAAGGUUCUGGUUAACAAUCAGCUGGACAGGUUCAUUCAGUAGUAGGUUUAGAAGUACGGACUCAUUCAGUGUACAUCCCUUCAUUUCAGAUUUCCAAAGAUGAACUGUGUCAGGCUGUUGACGUGGACGCAUGCGGAUCCUGUUCAACUAACCCUCCAGAGAUUUCCAAAGAUGAAAGGUGUCAGGCUGGUGACGUGGAUACAUGCGGAUCCUGUUCAACCAACCCUCCAGAGAUUUCCAUAGAAGAACCGUGUCAGGCUGGUCAUGUGGAUGCGUACAGAUCCUGUUCAACCAACCCUCCAGAGAUUUCCAAAGAUGAGCUGUGUCAGGCUGGUGAGGUAGAUGCAUGCAGAACCUGUUCAACCAACCCUGCAGAGCACAAAGUAAACACAGAGAUGGUAAGGGGAAAGAACUCAACAGAAAACUAAAACGGAAGGACAUAGAGCCCCGCAGAAAAAUGAACACAAAUAAAAAUUCUGCAUCUCUGGAAAGUGCUAGGAGAGCAAAAAAGCAUCCAUGGUCUCCCGUAGAGGUUGCUGCGGUCAUGAGGCACUUUGGUGAACACAUCAAGAAAGGACAACUGGCCACUAUGAUAGAAUGCCAGCAAUGCAAAAAGGCUGAGGAUCCUGCUCUAGCUAGUUGUGAUAUCCAAAACAUAAGAGAUUUUGUGAGAAAUCAGGGUGUAACAUUGAAAGUACUUUCAAUAAAUUAAUCCAGUAUUUCUACUGAUACUAUGAGUAAGUUCAUCUUGUUCACACAAUUUGUUUUAUCUUUUUGAUUUAACAAUAGACCUGUAAUUCAUUUAAUUUUGGCAUUCACAGAUUUUCCUUUAUGUUCACAAAUAGAAUUGUUGCUCUAGUUCUUAGAGCAGAAGGUGCUGUAAAUGCAGUCCACUUUCUGCGUAGUUAUAUUCCAUAUUUCCAUGUUUGGACUUAAUACAAAUACAUUUCAUGUUUGUGUAUGCCGUGGUCCUGAUAAAUAAAGUUGGCCCUGACAAUUACUGUUGGUGUCAUGGGCGGAGCCAAGCACC